GUAGGGAAUCUUCGGCAAUGGACGAAAGUCUGACCGAGCAACGCCGCGUGAGUGAAGAAGGUUUUCGGAUCGUAAAACUCUGUUGGUAGAGAAGAACGUUGGUGAGAGUGGAAAGCUCAUCAAGUGACGGUAACUACCCAGAAAGGGACGGCUAACUACGUGCCAGCAGCCGCGGUAAUACGUAGGUCCCGAGCGUUGUCCGGAUUUAUUGGGCGUAAAGCGAGCGCAGGUGGUUUAUUAAGUCUGGUGUAAAAGGCAUUGGCUCAACCAUUGUAUGCAUUGGAAACUGGUAGACUUGAGUGCAGGAGAGGAGAGUGGAAUUCCAUGUGUAGCGGUGAAAUGCGUAGAUAUAUGGAGGAACACCGGAGGCGAAAGCGGCUCUCUGGCCUGUAACCGACACUGAGGCUCGAAAGCGUGGGGAGCAAACAGGAUUAGAUACCCUUGUAGUCC
rnacentral:rRNA from 1 species